rnacentral:rRNA from 1 species
UACGGGGGGGGCAAGCGUUGUUCGGAAUUACUGGGCGUAAAGGGCUCGUAGGCGGCCAACUAAGUCAGACGUGAAAUCCCCCGGCUUAACCGGGGAAUGGCAUCUGAUACUGGAUGGCUGGAGUUUGGGAGAGGGAUGCGGAAUUCCAGGUGUAGCGGUGAAAUGCGUAGAUAUCGUAAGGAAGACCAGUGGCGAAGGCGAAUCUCUGGACAGUUACUGACACUGAGGCACGAAGGCCAGGGGAGCAAACGGG